rnacentral:tRNA from 1 species
GCCUGGGUAGCUUAGUUGGUUAAGCAACCGACUUUGGCUCAGGUCAUGAUUUCAGUGUGUGGGUUCGGGCCCCGCAUCGGGCU